rnacentral:rRNA from 1 species
GACAGAGGGGGCAAGCGUUGUCCGGAUUGACUGGGCGUAAAGCGCACGUAGGUGGUACGGCGCGUGGGGUGUGAAAUCGGCCGGCUUAACCGGUCGCCGCCAUCCCAAACGGCCGCACUCGAGCCACAUAGAGGUCGCUGGAAUUGCCGGUGUAGUGGUGAAAUGCGUAGAGAUCGGCAGGAACACCAAGGGGGAAGCCAGGCGACUGGGUGUGUGCUGACACUGAGGUGCGACAGCGUGGGGAGCGAACUGG